UUCUCUGUGAUAUGGCUCUGGAUUUAUUGGAUGAAUACUCUUCAAAGCAAAGCGUUGGAUUCUGUUGCCGCGCCCUCUAGCUCGCUUGGUGCAGGUCGGGAACUUAAUUCGCCGAUUGCGUGUGAAUUUUGCGGUGAAUUUGAGCUCUCCAAUCGUACAUGAUGCGUGUGCGUGGUGAAAAAAACAUUUGAUUGCCGCUCAAUUUGGCGAAAAUCAGGUUCCUGCCUUGCAUCAACUGAACCGGAGGCCGCGGUGAAUGAUUUUUUAUUGGAUUCACGUGGAUCUGCGAUUGAUAUGGCUGAAGGUACCUGGCAUUGAUUGCUUAGAGAUUAUGUUCUACGUGCACAUCUUUUUGGAUUAGUUUCCGGUGAUGUGGUGUCGUGGGCGAGUUUGAUAUGAGCAGGGAUUUUUCAUUUUUGCAAGAAUUUGAUCAAAGAAAAGAUCUCCAUAAAGAGGAUGGAUUUAAGAUUUGGAGGUGUGGCAUGAAAAUUUGAAUUAUUUACCUUAGUGUGACUAGUUUCAUCAAUUUUUUAGUGUGACAUGGUAAACAGGUAAAAGGACAGAGAAAAGCAGAGAUCUAAAGUCAGCGGAUCCAGUGAUGCACUGAUACUGUCUGAAGGCAUGACUAAGGUGCAAAUUCUUGACCUAUAAACUGUUUCUACAUUGAUCGAUUGGAUGCAGAUUCAAGUUGUACACACAAAAAAAAAAAAGAAAAAAAAAAAACCAAGAAUGGGGGAGAAAAAUGUUAGUGUUACCACUGCUGAUAUGCGAAAUGGAUCGUAUACCCAUUAGUUUCUUUUCAUAGUAGUCUUUUAUUCUUGUUUCUUUUGUCCAAAUUGGUUACUUAUCAGAGGUCAUCAGUUAUCAAUUUUAGGAGCUGAUGAAAUAAUUAGAUUUCUGAAAAUACUAACUUGUUGGAGUGAGCUAAUAAUGAUAAUUAGUCCUAUAAUUUAUUUGUAUUUUGACUAAUGGUAUAAUAAAGGAUCUCUAAUUCUUUA